rnacentral:lncRNA from 1 species
AUAAACAUGUCAUUAACGAUUUCCAUUUGAUUUUCAUUAGAAACUUCAUUCACAAUUUGGAAGAUAUUACAAGUUUUAUACAUCAUUCAAACAUCAAUAUUUCUAUUUUAAUUCUAAUACCUGACACUACCCACAACCUGUCUACGGAGCCCCUAAAUAAAACUGAAGAAUAAUAUGAAAAUACCAGCAACAAGGCUCUGGCUAUACCUCAAAUACAAAGUACAUAAUUAACAAAAUGAAAUAGGACCCCAAAAUGAAGUGGGGCUCACCAAGUCAGCUGAAAGGAUGAUGGAGCACUAGCUGCGACCAACACCGCAUGCUAUAGAAACACCUACAUUCAUUUAAAGACGUAGCGUACCCGACAAAAGGGACGUUAGUGCCAUCAAAUAGCACUAGUAUGUACAAAUAAAUACCAUCUCAUUAGAAAGAACAACCAUACAAGGAGAAAGAAAUCAUCAGGAUUCAACAAAAGCUUUGAACAAUUACUAUAUCAUAAAAUAAAAGGAAUCACAUAGCUCUCACAUAAUUUUUACAGCUUUAGUUGGGGGCUUUUACUACUGUUUAUCAUUAUUCACAAUACCACCGCUUUCUUGAACGGAGUCCAAUCAGGGUCUGAUCGGCUAAACCGCUUCCCUGAGAUGUUACCACUACUUAAUUUACACUUUCCAAUUUUAAUUAUCAAUACGUUACCACCAUGUGUGUGUACAUAUAUAUAUAUAUAUAUAUAUAUAUAUGUAUAUAUAUAUCAUGGCAUCCAAUUAUGGCCCGAUCGGCUAAAUCGUCUCCCCGAGACGUUACCAUUUUUCCAUUAUUCAUCUUAUGCCAAACUUUGGUUUUACAUGUAUUAGUUCAUCGGCACUUGGGGCCACAAUUAUCACAUCAUUCUUGGCACUAGGCCAUAUUCCAUAACUCUCAUUCCACAUCAUUUCCACUUUCAAUAUCAAACCUACAAAUUUAAGAUAAUGGAAACAUACAAGAGCAAUUCAAGUUAUAAGCAUAGGGAGGAAUUCUCAUGAUUCGGCAUAGUAAUCACAAUUGAACAUGACUUGAAAUCUAGGCAACUUAACAUAUAGUUCACCUUCUUCAUAUCUCCCCAAUUACCAAAAAUAGCACAUUGGACAUAUUGAGACACUUUUCACAUAUAUUAUUGCAACACUAAUUCCUUUGAAGCAACAAAUACUACAUCAAUCAUAUUUCGUACUUACAAUUUUACAUGGACACCAUGGGAGCUCAAUUUCUAAACAGAGGGGGCUUUAGCCAUACAUACCUUGUUUAAGCUUUUCUUAAGUUACUACGACAUUAGCAAUCCUAAUCUGCUUUGAUACAUAACAAAAUUAAGCACAAAUUAGGAAGGUAUUCAUGGUUUCAGCUCAUUUGGGCUUUUUAUCAAAUACUAGUUGAGCAUUUUGAUUUCAAAACUCUUUUACAAGGUUCCUUCAUUCCCCAACCUAAUCUUUACUUAUUUAUGUUCAACAAUCUUCCCACAAAACUAGUUUGUACAUGCAUGUAUACAUAAUACUAUUAUACCCAAAAAUCAUGCCUCAAUAACCCAUCUUAUACCCCAAACUAGAAAAUCUAAUAUAUAGAACCUUACCUCUUAGAUGAAGAACAUGUGAUUGGGUUCUUUGAUUCUUGAAGACUUGAGCAAGAGAUGGGUGAUUAUGAAGCUAGGACCCUCCUUUCUCUCUCAAUAUGCUCUCAUUUCUCUCUAAAAUCAGUAGGAAAUGACCCCAAAAUGAACCCCAAAGCCUAUAUAUUAAAAUGGGGCUGGGUUAUAAAAAUCGAAAAAAAUAACCCUCCGAAACCGAGUUUGUGAUCGCAAAAUGGACCACAGAAUGGGUAUCGUGGCCGCAAAUGUGUUACAAAACUCCAUGCCUAAAACUAGGCUACACUGGUCCAAUUUGCGACCAAAUUUGCGAUGCAGAUUGGUUAUGCGGACCGCAUAAUAGUUUUUGCGAUAGCAUAUCUGACAUAGGAUCACACUUUUCUAGCCUUUGGUAAUUUGAUCAUAACUUUGUGUAGGAAUAUGAAAAUGAUAAACAGUUUGAAGCUUUAGAAACUAGACUCAAAUACCUUUCAUUUGAUAGGUUAUUCGUCACAUAAAACUUUAAACAUAUUUAGAUAUGCUCGUUCAAAAUAUGGACUAAUGCAAGUACCUUUGGAAUCUUAGCCUGUUAUGAAUUUUUUUCCAUUUGGCUUACACUUAGGCCUCUUCUUAGACCACACCUUACUUAAUAUAUAUCACAUACAUUUGUUUACCAAAUCCAAUUGAUGUCUACCAUGUUAAUAGCACAUAAAAUAUUAUAAUUAGCCUACGUGGCAUCACAAAAUUCAAGAUUACUUAGCGAAAUUUUUAUGUGGCCUUACACAAGGAGAUGGGACGGCUAGGCGUGAUGCCCUGAUACAGGCUCUAGGUAGGCCGGCUUUGUUAGACUUAGUUGUGUGCCUUGGAAAUUUCCCAUUUUACUCUAGCCUCGAUCUAUUUCAUCAUUAAGUUGUACCUCGACGAGUUCUGAGGGAGGGAACUCGGUCACAGCUUCGCGUCCUUAGGGUCUCGAGAUGUUCUUCUAAAGUGACUCGAUAGAAAAAUUAGGCCCUCUAAUUGUUUCGUAUACAGAUAGUCGUCGUGUUUCUCAAAACGAAGCGAUGGGAAACGAUAAUGGUGUCUGACUUAUCGGACUUCCUGUGAUGACAUCAUACCAAUAAUGCAAUCUAUUGCGUGAAUUUUCACGAGAAGUGGGAUAUUUCAUGGGCCCAUCUUUUCAACGCCAUUCAAUGCACUGUCGAUUCCCAUUCUUCAAAGUGGCAGUACCACCGUCGACUCAGUUCUUCAAGAACGUAAUAAUUGCGCCCACUGGUCAAUAUUCCAAAGGAAUUGAUGGCUUUGUUAUUUCCCCCUAUAAAUAGGGGCAUUCUAGCGUUAUUUUUCUAUCAAAGUGUCUUUCUUCAUUCAUUUAUCCCCUCCUUCUCGCCAUCUUUUUAUUUUGUUAAUCACCAUGUUUGAAGUUCAUGGCCUUAAGGUUGUUUGUUGCAUUCCCACUUUUUGGGUGAUGGCCUUUUGCCUGACCUUCUAUUUGUCAAACGAGAUUAUACCGUCUUGUCGUCGUUGAAGUUGUUAUUGCGGUUGUUAUUAUUGUCCUUAUUGGGUCGGGGAAUCGACUUUCCCCUUUUUUAGAAAGUUAUUCAGACUAUACAUCACUGCUCACUCUCCUACCCUAGCCUAGUAUGGCACUUCAUCCCUUGGGUUUUUACUUUCCUGAGGGAUAAAAUAGCACAACCGGCCAUUGAGGCUGGGGCCUACUGAAUCUUCAACCUUUGGCUUUAGCAAGCUAUGUCUCUUUUCUCUGCCUUUUCUGCAUGCCCUCCCCCUCCCCCCNNNNNNNNNNNNNNNNNNNNNNNNNNNNNNNNNNNNNNNNNNNNNNNNNNNNNNNNNNNNNNNNNNNNNNNNNNNNNNNNNNNNNNNNNNNNNNNNNNNNNNNNNNNNNNNNNNNNNNNNNNNNNNNNNNNNNNNNNNNNNNNNNNNNNNNNNNNNNNNNNNNNNNNNNNNNNNNNNNNNNNNNNNNNNNNNNNNNNNNNNNNNNNNNNNNNNNNNNNNNNNNNNNNNNNNNNNNNNNNNNNNNNNNNNNNNNNNNNNNNNNNNNNNNNNNNNNNNNNNNNNNNNNNNNNNNNNNNNNNNNNNNNNNNNNNNNNNNNNNNNNNNNNNNNNNNNNNNNNNNNNNNNNNNNNNNNNNNNNNNNNNNNNNNNNNNNNNNNNNNNNNNNNNNNNNNNNNNNNNNNNNNNNNNNNNNNNNNNNNNNNNNNNNNNNNNNNNNNNNNNNNNNNNNNNNNNNNNNNNNNNNNNNNNNNNNNNNNNNNNNNNNNNNNNNNNNNNNNNNNNCCCCCUUUCCUCUUAUUCAUCUUCUCCCUCGGCGAGGUUAUUCUGCGGGAUCGAGCUAGGAACCUAGAAGAGAUGGUGAUUUGAAGGGGUUGCCUUUGAGGAUGCGAGCUCGAGGAGGCGGCGCUCGAAGAUGCUUCUACCGGAGAUGAACCUUCGAGGGUAGAUUAGGUUCUUAGGUUUUCACCAUAGGUAUAUAUCUCUUUGUUUCUUUGUUUCUGUAUAAGGACCUUUUGUGGGCUUUUGUAAUUAUUUGUGAGGACCCCUCGAGGGCCAUUGUAAGCCAAUGUUUAUGAAAUAGAAAGACAUUUUUCUUUACUUCUGCUUUUUAUAUUUGACAUAUUCUUGUAUAUUCUUGUGUAUUUGCGGGGAUUUUGAAUGUAUGCCUCUGUUAACGAUCAUUAAUACUCUUUUCGGUCUUUGGUCGACAGAAAUAGCUCUUAUCCGAGCCUACCAUCGUUCCUCAAACCAAGCUUGAAGUGAUAUGAUAGGCUCGGACUGUAGGAACCCUCGAUUCGCAUGAAGAUGGUGCAUCGAACUUUAAAUUUUUUAGAGUGGUCUCUGAGUGAAGGUCAGCUUCGGGCACCUGGAGAUUUACUUUGAACUUGAUGUAGAUAAUCUUAUAAGGCAUUGUAGAUAGGUUCUUGUGGAGAGGUUACUCAUGGUUGAGCGAUGUCCUGAGGUCGAAACCUCAUUAAUGGAGCUUGAAGUGCUUACUUUUCUCCUUGGGAGGAACCUUCAAGGUCGGAUACCCCCUCGAAACUGGAGACGAUGUCCCUGACCUUUUGAAGCCUAGCUUCCUUUUGACGGAGGUCCUUGGGAUCGGGUACCAUCUCGGGACCGGAGAUAAUAUUGUCAGCCUUUCGGAACCUAACUUGCGCAGGCGAACCAUUGUUGUUUCCCCACAUAUAUAUGGGGUUGUUUCCGGUUCUUGAGAGAUCCCAUUAUUUUAGAUAGCUACCCUUCCGUUUUGGCAUUGAGUCAUUCGUUACCUUAGUGCCAAUGCAUUCUUGUAGGUUCCUGCUUUAGUUUGUUAGUUCCACCAAAGCCAUGACUGCUACUUCAGGGCCUACCUGGCAGAAAGGGGAGAGUUCCACUCCCAUUACUCAAGAUCCACCAGAGUUUAUUUUGAAGACUAUAUCUUCAGUAAAAGAGGAGCACCUGGAGAUAGUGGUGAGAGAUAGCGGAUGGGCGAGGGGGUAGCGUAGCAAGCGCCUUCCUCGAAUGAGGGUAACAUAGACCUCGCCAAUGGAUUCCUAAACAUGUACUUGUACCCUUUUGCACUAGGCCCCCUUGAUUGAGUCGUGCUCGAGUUCUGUUUAAAUUAUCGAGUUACUUUGGCACAAAUACAUUUGUUGACUUGGAAAGUAGUGCUUAUGAUAAGGUUCUUUGCGGAGAAGGCAGCGCUUGAACUCACGCUCAUUCACCUCGUAAGGUUGUACCUACCCUUUCAUCAUCGAGGCCUGCUAAUCUUGCGGUGCCAUUAAUCCAUGACCUUUGUUGUUAAUGAUGAGGAAGAUAGAGAUCGAGAGUAGGUUAAACAAUUUGUUAGGGUCCGAACGAUUGAUGUUAUCCUCGUGGAACUUAUACCAUUUCCCGAGGAAUGGAAUUACACGCGUGAGUGGAGUGUCUCGUGCCUUUUCAAUUUGGUCAUGGUGAAAGCCGGUUUAGCAAGUGUGUUUCCUUUUUUUCUUUAGAAAUUUCAUGGGCACCGGGCGAAGUUCCUAAUCUACCCGGCCGAGUCCGGAAGCUGGCGUCCCAUUCGACUUGAAACGAGUGUAGGUGGCGAACUGUGUUUGGGGCAGAUUGGAAGAAAAAUACCAAGGUAUGUGCAUACGUACCUUGUCCUUCGUGCAUUUGGAAUGACAUUUUCCUCUUUUUAUGUACUAAUCUUACCAUCAUAGGUAUCAGAGGGUCCCCAAGAGCAAGGUUGUGCUCCAUCGGAGAGGAGGAGGACUUGCCAGCUUCCGAGCAAAAGGACGAUAGUGAUAAAUGCAAUAUGCACUUGCAGUGCAAUGGAGCUCUCAGCAGGGCGAAAUUGGGCCAAGUCUUUGAGGAGAAAACAUCGCCUGGGACUGCUACACCUGAAGUCUUUGGUUUUGGAGAGGUGGUUCCUCUGAGUGAUCAUACUUCGAUCGAGGUUGGUUCUUCCUAGGCCGAGGGGGCUGUAUCAACAGAGGUGUGAUCGGCCUUCGAGAAAUCCACCGACUUCACUUAGCGACGAGUUUUUACACAAGACUUCUAAAUCUCGCAUAUUCCCUUCCUUAUUGAGUUUUUCUUCUGCAAGCCUUUGAUAGGCUUGGGUCUGAGUUGUUCCAUUAUAGGGCUAGGCUCCGGAAAGCUCUGAAUAAAGGUCGUCCCUUAGGCUCCUUUUCGUGGAGAAGGAAGUUGAGUUGACAUACUAGCGAUAUGAGGCGUACUGGAGCUCGAAUUGCAAGAGCUAUUUGAUGGAGCACGUAUUUUCUUGUCCCAGGGGGAGGACGGGUAUGCAUUUCAUUUUUUAAACCUUUUGGUUAACAUUUUGCGUAUCCUAGUUGCAGAAAAAGACAUAGGCUUUAGAGCGCCUUAGGGGUGAAGCCGACAGAGUUAGGGAUGACCGUGGCGAGCUAAGAGCUCAGGCGCAGGCUCAAGCUUCAGAGGAGAAGGGUGCCUUGGCAAAAGUUCCUGUUAGAUGUGGAAAACUGGCGGAUCGGGUCAGAUAUGGUUCGGGUCGAAAAAGGAUAUGGGUACAUUAUCCAACCGGACCCAUAUUAAUAUAGAUAAAAAAUGAUUUAACCAGUGGAUAAUAUGGGUAACCAUAUUAUCCAUGGCUUCUUGUAUAUAUGAUCACUUUUUGGAGAAUUCUUAGUCCCCCUAACUUAAGAAACCCCUAAUUUGAAGCUUUACAAAUAUAAAAGUUAGACCUAUUAGUCAUCCAUUGGUUAUCCAUUUUCUAAAUGGAUGAUAUGGUUCUUAUCCAUAUUUGACCCAUUUUUAAAUAGUUCAUUAUUUAACCUAUUUUUUAAUGGACAAUAUGGGUGGUAACUAUUUUUUUUGAACUAUUUUGCCACCCCUAGUUUCUGCCUUCGAGGCCCACUUUUGCUUGGCUCGUGACAAUGAUUCAGUUCAAGCGAAUAUGAUCACGGAGCUAGAGUCCUAACUUUAGAAGGUCAGGGUUGAGAUCAUUGAUGCUCGGGCUGAAGCAGCACUGAGCUAUACUAAGGUUGAUCAGGAGAUGGCGAUUCAUGUAAAAGAUUCUAUCGAUGCCCAAGGUGAAUUGAAGAGGGUCCUCGAUCGUGAAGAAAGGAUCAAAGAAUAUGCUUGUUGCAAAUCCCGAAGAAGGGUUCUCUAGGAGAUAGGCGCCAUGGGUUUUCUUCUCUCGAAAGAGCUGGCGCAAGCGAGGGAAAACGAGCAUGAUGCUCAGUCAUUCCUACUCGAUGAUGAGGAGAGUAAAGAUGAAGCUGGUAGGUCGUAGCCCUCAGGGGUGGGGCUUAGACUCUGCCAUCUUGUUUGUGAUAUUUCCAGAGUGCGUCUGUAAAUGGAGGAUGCACUUUUUUAUGUAUGUAAAUAAAAGAGAACUUGAAGCUUUAUUUCUUAUAUAUCCCUUUCUGCUUUGCUUUUGACCAGGUAGACAGGCAUUCGGAGUUGGCGAGAAUCCUUCGAUAAUAUGGCUUUGGGGCUCAUCAGGCAUACCCAGGGGCUCUUACGCAUUCGGUCGAUGCGGCCUUUAGUGUAAGCUGGCAUUAGAGCUAUUAUGCUUUUCUCAACUAUUUUGGGUUUAGUUUUCGAUUCGGGCUUUAACUCGAGCCUGGUAGACCCUCAAGCUUUUGUGUCUGCAAAGCAUAAUGUCUCUUACGCUAUGCCCUUAGGCAUGUAUAGUUAACUAUUUUGGAUCCAGUCUUCGAAUCGGGUUAUAACUCGAGCUCAAUUUAACCCUCAAGCUUUCAAAUUUUUAAGCUGGAAAUAGUGGCUCUUAUGUUUUAGGUCGUUGCGACUGUUUAGUGUGUGUCACCAUGUGGCUCAUUAGACUGGUGACAAUGGCUCUUACGCUUUGCCCUUAGGCAUAUGUAGGCUUUGUUUUCCUCUUGUUAAGGAAUUUUUUAAAUAAUUUUUCCUGACCCAUCGUCAGUUCGAGAAGAACAUCGAUUUCAAGUCGUUCGCGACAAUAUUCGAGAACCUCGGAAGGUUUAGCUCGAAGCCUUAUGAUUUGUAGCUGACAUGGUUGAAGUUCAUUUUCCUGUCGAGGGUAGCAUGUUUAACCAGUCCUUCUAGAAGUAGAUUCAAAGUAAUGGCCUGUGAUUUUAUGGCGAUGGUCAGGCAUCCCCGAGUUGCAUUAAUUUGGCUGGUGCAACCGUAAUGACCGUAGUCAUUUAUGUUUAGCCAGAGCCAUUUUUGAUGUCGAGUGUAGUAGUUUAGGAGUCUAUAUUGAGGAUAUGCCCUUUCUGGAGUCCUACAAAUGCAACAUAUAGCCUAAACUUCGAGAUUGAGUUUAUGCAUGUAGUAAGGUCCAAAACUUUCAUGCCUUUUGAGGUCUUACAGUGUUGUUGAUAUUUGGUACAAGCGUGAUUCAUGCCUUGCUUGAGGUCUUGAAGUAUUUUCAUGCAUGUUGAGGUCUUACAGUUUCGUCAUGACUUUGAGGUCUUAUAGGAUUUUCAUGCUUAUUAAGGUCUUACAGUUUUUCAUUGCCACACUAAAUAGGUCUUGCUAGACUGAGUCUGCCCGCUCGGGGUCUUCUAGCCUCAGGUUUUUAAGUGAAUGGCAAUUGGCGCAGUCUCUGAGUCAUCAAGCUUGUUUAGGCUCGGAGGCCAUUACUCGCAAGCUCGAAAUUGCCUCAUCGAGGGCUUAUAUAUUUGAAUAUUCUGACCCUGGGGUCAUGAUCUUUCUGAGUUUGCGAUGCCAAUCUCCGAGUGUUUGGAAUAUUUUUCCUUUUCAGAGAUGCUUUGGCAAAAGAUAUUAUUUAAUUGUUUGGCAUAAGUACAUGUUGUCGUGAGCCCGAAUUAUGCAGACACGAUUUUUUUGACUGUUUGGAACGGCACAUAAUUUCCUAUUGGGACCUUGUUAGUUUUCCCCUAGUUCUUUCGAGUGGAUGACCUCUCAAUGGGGUGGUGUCGAUUGCAAAGGAAGCCUUGUGAUCUAGCUGGAUCAUCCAUAAGCGCAUAGACGUCGCAUCGUACGAAGAGAAGCUCGGUCGAAGGGGAAUAAGUACAUCGGAUUUCAUUAAGGCCUAGAGAUCUUUGGGUUAGGUCAGCAUUUUUAGCCACCCCGAUGGGUACCUGCAUUGGGGUUAGUGUAAAAUAAUGGAAGAGGGAGGUAGUCUUACCUUAUCGUGGGGUGCACAGCCGAUGUUCCAAGGCCUAAUGUGUCCCUAUUAUUUGGAGCGAUGACUUGAUACAUUCCUCUGUUGUGUUUAAUUGGGCUUUAUCCAAAGACGUAGUUUGAUUAUCAUUUGACACUUUCGAGAGUGGAGAUAUCAGUUUCAGCACUACGUUACAUAACGCAAACACUUCCCUUGACGCAUGAUGUUCCCCGUAAAUGGUCUUAAUUCCGUCCUUUGCUAGGGAUGCUAUCAUUUGGUGAAGGGGGAUGGUACCGCUCUUAUAUGGUGUGUCCGCAGCCGUUCGAAUAAGGCAUUUAUGCCUCACAUCUCCUUUAAUGAAAUGGGAUUUGGUGUUCCGGUCUGUGCUAGCUGUGUUGGCUGAGAAAAUGGUCUCUCUUUUCGUUGUGUCGAUCGCCGUGUUGAAUCCGCCAAGGAUUCGAGAGGCGGGCAUAAUUUGGUCCAGCAGUCCAAGUUACUCUAUCAAACUCGACCUGAUAAUGUUGGUCGAGCUGCCUGGAUUUUACUAGCGCACGAUAUAAUCAAAAUAGAUGAAUGAAGAAGGAGGUUACCAGAGUGUUGCUAUGAGGUUGGGGCGAGGUUUCAGAUCCUUCCCUGCUGAAUGUGAGGGAACCUUCGGGUAUGUAUCCCGAGUUCAUCUUUCUCCGGAGAUGGAUAUUUUUGUCCUCCUCUUCACAAGUUCUUGGGGAGUGUCGACGCCCUUCCAGUACCAUGAUAACAUUUCAUGGCCCAAUUGAUUUGUUCUUCUCGGCCGCAUUUCUUUCUCGGAACUGAACAUGAGCCCAAUUGCUCAAAAGUUCUCGGCGGUGACUUUUAUUGAGUAGCUUAGUUAUUUCCUUUCGGAGUUGGUGGAAAUGUUGGGUCGUAUGGCUUUGCAUAUUAUGAAGCUCACAUACCAAAGCUAUGACUCCUCUGGAAAGCAUCUGACUGGAUAGGUCUAGGCCAUUUGAUGCCCCUGGUUUUGCUGACUGUGAGCACGAUGUCCGCUGCAAUGAUGUUGAAGCGGUAUCCUGAUAGGAAAGGUGCCCCUAUUGCCUUGUGUCUCCAUCGAAUCUGGCUCUUCUGAUGAGCCCUCGAGGAUAUUGCCCUCGAUCCAUUCUCCGACUGUUGCGAGGUAGGUUGCGCCUUGGGCCAUUCCUCUUAUCUUUGAUGUACUGCUGGUAUCUUUCUUUUUUUGGUUUCGGUUCCUUUGCCAAGAGUCUGCUCGGAUAUACUGAGCCAGAGGGGGCUCCUAACUGGUUAUCCUUGACCCUAAUUUUUUUACUAGUACUGGUUGUGGACUAUCACACCUUUUUUUUACCAAACUUCACUUAACCCUCUUAAAUAAAUAAAAGGAUUUUGUGAAGCUUGAAAAGGGUUUUCAAUUUUGAAAGUGACAAAAGAUCGUGUUCAAAAGGAUAAACUCAGAGUCGCCACCUGACAUUAAUUUUUAUGUAUCGGGUCACCAUUUUUUUCUAAAAAAAAUAAAAAAAAAAUUCCUUUUAAAACACUUGAGACUCGAGAUACCCAAGUCUACACCAGAAAUUUUAGGUAAGGGGGUUCAUUUGACUCGAGCAGAAGGUGCUAGGCAUUCCCGGAGUCCCGUGAAGGUCACGGUUGCGUACUCGAUUUAGUUGGCUUUUAAAAUUUAGAUUGAGGAAAAAAUAAGCAUGGAAAAGCAAAAUAUACAUAUGAAGCUCGAGGUUGUCCCCACCUAGUAAAAGAAAAUGAAACGGAAAAGAAAAGAAAAUUCUAAGCUAACAUAUACUACGACUUCUCCACCAUGCUCGUCAGGGCCUCCAAAAUAUUUACAUAGUUCUUCGGGGCAUACCCCGGUAAUAAUAUAUACAAAUCCUUCGGGAUAUUUUUCGGAUAAAUUUAACUAAAGGAACGACCUCUUGCCUCAAAAUUAAUAGAAGUCCUAAAGCUUGUCUACCUAAAUAUGGUGGGCCUAAACAUGCUCUAGCGGGAAAACAAUAAAAAUAAAAUCAUUAGAACAUUAAACCGAAUUCUUUCAUUUUUAUACUCGUACCCCACAGCCCGAUUUUAAAUAAUUCCAGAAUAAGAACGCAUCAAAAAACAAUAUCAGAUGUAGACGAAAAACCUAAACAUCCAUAACAAAGAAGAUUACAGAAGGAAAUAAUAGGAAAAGUGAAUCAAAACUUUAUAUUGUUCAUUAGGGGUAAGACAAUUUUGACAUAUGAUCAUUUACAUUCCACCACUUGCUUAAGUAGUAGUACUUAAUAUUAAUGACAAUUUUAAAUCCUAGCCAACUCUCACAUACUAACCAAUAUUUGAAAGUCUCAUCCUCUACUUUAGAGGAUUCUCUAAAAUCAACGAGCUUAAUGUUCUGUCUAAAACCCCGAGUUUGUUUCUUUUAGAGCCAACCCUGCUACCCAAGAGCACGUUCGCAUAGAGAGCAAAAUUUCAAAUUAAAAUCAAAGAUUUUUCCUAAACUUUAACCGAGUUAAAUGACAUAGAAUAUACCUUCAACAAGAGGGUCACAUUAAUUAAACGAUAAACUAAUCCUAAUUCAACCAAAAAGUGAAAAUCUCAAUAAGGAACAAAAAGUAGCAUGAAGCCAAACAAAGAUUUCAUUCUUAGCUGGAAUAGAUCUGAAAAUUAAAGAGAAGAUAAAGUUAGAGUCGGACCUUAAAGAUUGACAACCUUUCCAGUUACAGCCGCGGUAGCAGCGGGGACCCGAACAUGGACCGGAAUCUAAACACGACCUCAAUCAAACUCCAUGAAUCUAUAUCAAAAUAGAGGCAAAUAUUUUGUAUUUUUCGCUUGAAAUAAUGUCCGUUUCUCUUCCUGUUCAUGCGUGACUUUGCCCCUCAAUGUGUGUGUGCAUCUCUGCGUAUUUUUAGGUGGUUGUUCCGGUGAGUUCAAUGAUGACGAGGAUGAAGCUUGGUAGCAGCGGUGGAGAUCGGUUGCUUCUUUUUUUUUGAGAAGUUAGGGGCCUGUUCUUCCCUGGUGUUGGAAGGCUAGUUUUCUAAACUGAAUGGGGAGGGAUCGGCGACUUUUUCGUGUUAGGGGUGUUCUCUAAUUGAAGAAGAAGGUCCCCUCUAAGGCUGUAAAGUGGGCCGGUUCUGGGCCUAUUUGUACCUGACGGACCGGGUCUUACGGUUUCGAUUCUGGUGUGCUGGGUUUGGCGGUUCCGGAUUUGGCGGUUCUCCAAGUUGGGACCGGCCCGUGACGGGUCUAAGCACCAUGUGGUCCUGGGUUUGGUGGGCCGGAUCUGGUGGGUCUGGCGGGUCUGACGGAUUUUUUUUUUUAAGUCAAUAUCUUGUAUAGUAGUCAUUAGCAUAGUGUAGAAUAUAUUUUAUAUGGUG